GUGGGGAAUAUUGCACAAUGGGCGCAAGCCUGAUGCAGCCAUGCCGCGUGUAUGAAGAAGGCCUUAGGGUUGUAAAGUACUUUCAGCGGGGAGGAAGGUGAUAAGGUUAAUACCCUUGUCAAUUGACGUUACCCGCAGAAGAAGCACCGGCUAACUCCGUGCCAGCAGCCGCGGUAAUACGGAGGGUGCAAGCGUUAAUCGGAAUUACUGGGCGUAAAGCGCACGCAGGCGGUCAAUUAAGUCAGAUGUGAAAGCCCCGAGCUUAACUUGGGAAUUGCAUCUGAAACUGGUUGGCUAGAGUCUUGUAGAGGGGGGUAGAAUUCCAUGUGUAGCGGUGAAAUGCGUAGAGAUGUGGAGGAAUACCGGUGGCGAAGGCGGCCCCCUGGACAAAGACUGACGCUCAGGUGCGAAAGCGUGGGGAGCAAACAGG
rnacentral:rRNA from 1 species